UUUUAGCCCUGAUGAUCCCGAAGUCUCGGGAGUCAUCCUUUUAUGCCUCCCGAAGCCUCGGGACUGGCAUGAAAGAUACAGCGUACAGCAGGAAAUGGC
rnacentral:misc_RNA from 1 species